GACGAACGCUGGCGGCGUGCUUAACACAUGCAAGUCGUACGGUAAGGCCCUUUCGGGGGUACACGAGUGGCGAACGGGUGAGUAACACGUGAGUAACCUGCCCACAACUUUGGGAUAACGCUAGGAAACUGGUGCUAAUACUGGAUAUGUGCUCCUGCUGCAUGGUGUGGGUUGGAAAGCUCCGGCGGUUGUGGAUGGACUCGCGGCCUAUCAGCUUGUUGGUGGGGUAGUGGCCUACCAAGGCGGCGACGGGGAGCCGGCCUGCGAGGGUGACAGGACACAUUGGGAUUGAGAUACGGCCCAGACGCCUACGGGAGGCAGCAGUGGGGAAUAUUGCACAAUGGGCGCAAGCCUGAUGCAGCAACGCCGCGUGCGGGAUGACGGCCCUCGGGUUGUAAACCGCUUUCAGCAGGGACGAAGCUUUUUGUGACGGUACCUGCAGAAGAAGCACCGGCUAACUACGUG
rnacentral:rRNA from 1 species